rnacentral:rRNA from 1 species
UACGAGGGGGGCUAGCGUUGCUCGGAAUCACUGGGCGUAAAGCGCACGUAGGCGGAUUGCUAAGUCAGGGGUGAAAUCCUGGAGCUCAACUCCAGAACUGCCCUUGAUACUGGCGGGCUAGAGUAUCGGAGAGGUUGGUGGAAUUCUCGGUGUAGAGGUGAAAUUCGUAGAUAUCGAGAGGAACACCGGUGGCGAAGGCGGCCAACUGGACGAAUACUGACGCUGAGACACGAAAGCGUGGGGAGCAAACAGG